GCCCGGUGGCGUGAUUAAAGAUAAACGACAUCUGUGAGACGGCCCGGUCUCGCAUCUCCCACGGAGGAGUGGAAGCAUAAAGGAGGAGCAACCAACCACAGUGCGGAGGGAGAGAGGAACAGAACCAUAUGGAGAAACAGCCUGUGAGAGCCGGCGCAUUGCCAGAGUCUUGCCCUGAUGGACCCGCUCUCAGCUGGAAUCCAGUUUUGAGCACACUGUGAAGCCACAGCCAGAUCUUCUACCUCCCUGCUAAAGGAGGCCCUGACAUUCACAGGAGACAGCCCAUCAAACAGCCUGUUGAUAAUUGUCCGCGAAGACCCAGAUCACCCGAGUCACGCUCACAUGAAGUUGCUCGCGGACAGGCCUGUAACCCUGAGAGCUGGUCUUCAUCAACAAACUUUGAUGGGAGAGAGAUGACAUGAAGAAUACAUCAUACAGAUUUGCAACAACAUGAUGGCAGGAGCAAAUGAGUAUGAUUGGCACACUGGUGUGUGUCUGCAUUCGUAUUGUGCCAUUUUUGAUGCCCUGCUGGUCAUUUCCAGAGCCAAGUCCAUGCGUGCCAUCACAGUACCCUACGGAAUCUACUCGACAUAUGUCCCUUUGGCGGCUGGGUACACAACUGUCCACCCAACUUGCGCCUGCACCCCGGCAGCUGAGCCACACUUCCCCGGGUCAGAGAAGAUGGAGGUAGAAGACAAAAAUAGAAAGAGCUGGGCCAUCAAUCAGUUCACAAGUCAGACAAAUAGACAAAAUUUCAUAAACGAGGCCCUUUAUUGACGGCUGGUCUCAUAACGUUUAUCCGAAAUCCAUUUUGCCUGACCGUUAUGUGAGCAUUAGGGAUCAUUGAGCAUCACCUUAGCCAUGCGUGAAGAUUCAUGCCAGGAGUUUCAUCUGCAGCAGACGUCAAAAUCAAUAGCCAAUGUCAGCGGCACCACAGUGUCUUGCUUCGUGACUCGCCUCUGCCUCAGAUUCUGACUUAAGUCUUUUAUGUCAUAACGGGAUGGGCUGUAGAUGGCAGUUUGUAGCAUUAAGGAACAAAAACUGCAAAAACACGCUUGCACUUCUUUUACAGAAGUGCAAUUCCAGCACCGAUAUCAUGAAUCUGAAUAAGUGGUUUUGACAGUGUAAUCCAUUUAAAAAGCUGGACACCGAGGACAUGCUGAGAGAUGUAUCCACUGUGAAUGAAAGCGUAGCUCAGAUGUUAUUUAAUCACAGUUCUGGGGUCUGAAUUGAGUUGGGAGGAGCAGGCGAGAAUUUUGAUGACAAGCAUGAAAACAGACUGUUAAAGUAAA